AUAUAGAUACCCUGUUACUUAUAAUUAAAUAAUUUUGGAAUAGUAAUAAUAAUGAAAUUUAACGGAUUUGGCGGCAAGAUAGCCAUUUAGAGGAACCUGCCCUAUAAACGAUGAACCACGAAUUACAUUACUUUUUUUAGAAAUUCAGUUUGUAUACCGCUGUUGUCAGUUAGUUUUUUUAGAAAACUUUCUCUCAUGAUAUAAUUAUGGACUUCAAGUAAAGGUGCAGCUUAUGAAAAAGAUAGAGGUGGGUUACAUUUAAAAGAUUAAUACGGAUAAAGUUUUUGA
rnacentral:rRNA from 1 species